UUAAUCUAAUAUUCCACAUCCAAACCCUAUUUCCCUAAUUUUCUCUCUCUCUGCUCACCAAUAACCCCCCUCUCUCUGCUCGACACCGAUAACCCCUCUCUCCCCAAAUAUAUAUAUCCCACUAUGUCUAUGGGGAUUUCCAGAAUAGACAUUGCUAUAUAUCCUCAACUAGAUCGGUUCUGCUGCUUUACCAUUUUACCCUACUAAUUUCCCCUUCUCUUGCUACUCAUAAUUCAACUUAGAACAGGGAAAGGAGCAUCUGGGCUAUCUUCAGUUUGGUUCGUUCGCUCAAACCGUUGCCCUCUUCCGUCAAUCCCAGCACCGUCUACUUCGAUCCAGUUCUAUAGUGAGAUAGUUGACACCUCUAUCUACGUCGUGACAUAAAUGUCACAAUUUCAACUCUGCAAGUGUAGUAUCUUGGCAUAAAGUAUUACUGUAUUUGAUGCAUAAGUUGUACUCAUCAAUUGUUAGUUUAGGAUAAAUGUAAGAUCUGUUUCUUUAUUCCAUGAUUUAUUAUAUCUGUUGUUGCAGAAGAGCCAUAUAAUAAGACAAGUAAAUAAGCAACAGUCUCUGUUUCUUCCGUUUUAAUCUUUUGUUGUUGACUUUCAUUAUGUGUAUGCAUUAUGACUCAAAUACCAUAUCCUAUUCAAAUUAGACUUA